UAUUUCAAUAUCUAGAAGGAAACGGUAUCUAAACAUACUACUUAAUUUCUUAAAAAGAGGACAAAAAUGAAGGAAAUGAAAUACACCUAACAUUGCAAUUUGCAAGAACUCAUCAAAUUCCAUUACAGAGGUAAAAUCUCAACUCCCCACACCAAUUCGAAACGUUAAACUUUGCUCUUCUUCCCUUAUAGCUUCCUUCUGAACCUUUCAUCUUUCAAUUUCUGUAAAUUAUGUGCUAAUCUGUUCAUAAUUUGAAAUGCCUUCAUCUCCUAAAUCUUUCAAUGCUUGGCCAUCUUCUUCUUCCUCCUCCGUCUACUCCCGCAGAUCGACGGUCCUGAUCCUCUGUUCCCUUAUCGGUAUAGCUGGGUUUAUGUUCGGUUUUAUUGCAAUUUCGAAGCAGGGUUUGGGGUCAAAUUGUAAAUAUGCUGAACCUCGAUCUGUUUCUGUUGUAUGGGAUAAAACUGGUAGUAAAGUAAGUGAAGAUACUGGUGGGUUUUCAGAUGAAGGGCAAAAGCGGCAUAAAGUUAUGGGCUUUGUUGGGAUCCAAACCGGGUUCGCUUCCACCGGUCGCCGCCGGUCCCUGCGGCAGACUUGGUUUCCCUCUGAUCAUCAAGGACUUCAAAGGUUAGAAGAAGCUACUGGCUUGACUUUUAGAUUUGUAAUUGGUAGAACAAGUGAUCAAUCCAAAAUGGCAGAGCUUAGGAAAGAGGUAGCACAAUAUGAUGAUUUUUUACUAUUAGACAUUGAAGAAAAGUACAGUAAGCUUCCAUACAAAACCAUAGCUUUUUUUAAAGCUGCCUAUGCGCUUUAUGACUCUGAAUUUUAUGUGAAAGCUGAUGACGACAUAUAUUUGCGGCCAGAUCGCCUUUCACUGCUCUUGGCCAAAGAGCGCCCUCACUCACAAACAUACCUUGGAUGCAUGAAAAAGGGUCCAGUUUUCACUGACCCCAAGCUCAAAUGGUAUGAACCACUUGGAUAUAUGCUCGGGAAGGAGUAUUUUCUCCAUGCUUAUGGUCCUAUUUAUGCUCUUUCUGCUGAUGUUGUUAUGAGUUUAGUUGCCCUCAGGAACAAUAGGCAAGUUGGCUUUGUACAAAAUUCUUUUCCGAAUGUUUAGCAAUGAGGAUGUUACUAUUGGUUCCUGGAUGCUUGCAAUGAAUGUCAAUCAUGAGAAUAAUCGACAGCUAUGUGAACCAGAGUGUACCCCUUCAUCCAUUGCUGUGUGGGACAUUCCCAAGUGUUCAGGGCUGUGUAACCCUGAGAAGAAAAUGUUGGAACUUCAUGCAAAAGAUGCCUGCUCCAAGAGUCCUACUCUGCCAUCAGAUGAGGAUGAUUAGAGCUCAUUGCUAUCAAACACAGUAGGCUAGCAGAUUGUUUACAGAUUGAUUCAUUCCUGCUGGAAGUUGCCUCCGCUGAAUGUCACGUGCAUUUUGUAAGUUCACCUCCAUUUUGUAAGUUACCCUGUUCAGCAAUAGUUGAGGAAUAUAUAUUUUUUCCGGUUGUUGUUGCAUUUAGAGAUCAGAGUUUUGUAGCAGUAGGAGAUUUAUGGGAGUAGUUUGUAGGAGCAAGAUAUUACACAGUUGUAAUUUUGAGGUCCUAGACCUGUUUGAGCACUGUGGAGGGAAAAGAUAGUAGUAAUAUUUAUCUAUGAACAAUCCAAAGAUUUUUUAGAAUUCAUAUGUAAAUUAUGAUAA